ensembl:snRNA U6 U6 spliceosomal RNA
GUGCUCACUUUGGCAGAAUAUAUACUAAAAUUGGAAUGAUACAGAGAAGAUUAGCAUGGCCUCUGAGCAAGGAUGACAUGCAAAUUCAUGAAGUAUUCCAUAUAAAA